rnacentral:tRNA from 1 species
UGUUCUGUGGCUUAGUUGGUUUAAGCGCCGGUCUAGCAAAUACGAUUUCGCGGGUUCAAGUCCCUUCAAAACGC